rnacentral:rRNA from 1 species
UACGUAGGGUGCGAGCGUUAAUCGGAAUUACUGGGCGUAAAGCGUGCGCAGGCGGUUCGUUGUGUCGGCGGUGAAAGCCCCGGGCUUAACCUGGGAAUGGCCGUUGAAACUGGCGAACUGGAGUGUGGCAGAGGGGGAUGGAAUUCCGCGUGUAGCAGUGAAAUGCGUAGAUAUGCGGAGGAACACCGAUGGCGAAGGCAAUCCCCUGGGCCUGCACUGACGCUCAUGCACGAAAGCGUGGGGAGCAAACAGG